AAAAUUUGUGUCUAUACUGACAUGGCUGAGCUCAACUUUGGAUACGAUAACCCGAUGGGUUUGGGAAGUAACGACUUGAGGCUUCUAAUGGAUGGGAACCAUGAAUUAUUAACAAAUUUUGACACAGCAGAUAAUGACCUGGUUCAACUGAUAACACAAAAUCAGGAAUCAUUCAUGACCCCUCAAAUUCCUGUGACUCAACCCCAACCCCCCAAGCCACAGAAACAGACAACGCACAGAGGAACCCCCCACAAAACGCAAGACGGAAUAUAUGUUGAGAUCGUAGAACAGCCCAAGCAGAGAGGGCUGCGGUUCCGCUACGAGUGUGAGGGUAGAUCAGCGGGCAGCAUUCCUGGUGAAGGCAGCACCUCUGAGAAGAAGACCUUUCCAACCAUUAAGAUUCACAACUACACUGGCACAGCGGUGAUAGUGGUCUCCUGUGUGACCAAAGAUCAGCCGUACGAACCCCACCCCCACAACCUAGUGGGCAGGGACUGCAAAAGGGGGGUCUGUACCCUAAAGGUCAAGGACACCAACGUCAUCAGUUUCCCACACCUCGGAAUACAGUGUGCCAAAAAGAAAGAUGUGGAAAAUAACCUGAAACAGAGAAAAGAAAUCAAUGUGGAUCCAUUCCAGAGUGGUUUCAAACACUUGAACAAAAUCAACAGUAUAGAUCUUAACGUGGUCCGUCUGUGUUUCCAAGUAUUCCUGCCAGAUGAAAAUGGAAAAAUCACCCGCAUUGUUCCUCCCGUUGUAUCACAUUGUAUUCACGAUAAAAAGUCAUUGAACGAGUUGGUAAUCUGCCGAGUAGACCGACACUCGGGGAAGGCAAAGGGAGGUGAUGAGGUUUUCCUGCUGUGUGAGAAAAUCAACAGAGAUGAUAUUGUGGUCCGGUUCUAUGAGGAGACAGAGUGUGGAGAAUGUCUGUGGGAAGACUUUGCCGACUUCAGCACAAACGACAUCCACAGACAGUACGCCAUUGUCUUCCGCACACCACCUUACAAAGACACAAUGAUCACACGGCCAAAGGAGGUCAAAAUGCAGCUCAAACGCAACAAUGAACCCGAAACCAGCGACUCAAUCCCAUUCAUUUACAUGCCUGAAGACCCAGAUCCUGACCGAAUCAUGGAGAAAAGAAAAAGGACGGCACGUCCCUCAAUGUAAGGACCCUGGACAACACAACCAUGGGAAAUGUGACCAUUACCCCCACGGAGAGUGUUCGUCAACAGCUCGCUAACCUGCCCGACGACGUGCAAAUCAAACUACUGCAGAAUCUGGCCGUGCGUAAACUCCAGGAGGAGGCCACAAGCCGUAUCAACCAGCCCGGUCAGCCCCUGGAAAAGGACCACAGCACCUUCCUCCAGUCUCUUCUCGGUGGAGGCAUGGGGAUGCCACAGAAUUCAAACCCUGCACAACUGCUGAACCAGAACCUCAUGAUGGGAGGUCAGGCAAUGGGUCAGUGCUCGGGGAUGGACCAGGAGAAUGUAGACUUAAUGCUUCAGGCUUACCUUGGUGAUCAGGAUCAGAACAUGUCCUUCGACAGCUUCGGCUCAAACAUUGGAAACAUGAACUUUGACCCCUCAGUGGGAGCCAAUCUUAAUGUGACAAAUGAUCAGGGAGGGUUAGACGAGACAAAGACAGCUGUCCAGUCUCUGGGCCAGUCCUGAGGCCCCUCUGACAGAGGCAUUGUUAUUCGUAUUGUUACGUUAUUAUGCGGGUUAUGAUUUCAUUUCCUCACUGGAUGCCCUCCAGUUUAAAUUUCUGGGUGAAAAUCUGUCCUUCAAGGUGAAAGACAGAUGACACAUACCUAUGUGCAUGUUCGCCCACGUAUAGCAACCUCAGCAGGAAUAACUUGCUUAUUCGGGUGGAAAUUAUUUUAAGUAGGUCACAGACUGUAGAUUAAGAAGAGACGGAUAUAGUGCUUUAAAUACACAAGGGUAUGCGAGUUACUAGAGCGGUGGUCAGUAGCUAUGAAGGAAACACCAGGAAGUGAUACCGCCCACUCACUGAACGAGGAAGUGAAACUACACCUUGCUUUGUUGGCUGUUUUUUGUGUUCUAUAUUUAGAUGUGAAACUGAAAGGCAGGAAUUUACCCAUUACUAUAAUGUUAAAGGGUUUAUAUAUAGGGAGAGUAUGAAUGAGUGGUAAAUUCCAGAUUUAUUUUGAUACAAAUUCACGUGUAGUGCUCAUUUUAAUUCAAAGUACUCAUUUUAUCAUAUGUACAUAAAAUCUUCAUGCCAAUCAAUUGUUGCAUUUGGUAUUAUUGUAACAUACAGCUUGGUGUGGUUGUAUUUUGUCCAAAAAAUUACGCAUUUGUAAAUAUUUUACAUAUUUUGUAUACAAUAUUUUUAUUGAAAAUGUAGCUCAUUGUAAAUAAAGUACAAGUAAUACCC
rnacentral:misc_RNA from 1 species